CGCACCUUGCACCCUUUGGCAUUCCGAAGGGUACAUCUGUUUGAGUGUCAUGAAUCCCUCAACCUCUACAUUUUCUUGUAAAGUGUGCGAGCGUUGGAUGAUGAGCGUUGCUGUGCAUUCCACAGCUCGCUUCAAAUGUAUAAGCAAUCUUGGUACAUCUCCGGAUUGACUCGACGUGAUAAGAUCUUCGUCGGGGAUGCUUCUUCAGCAGCCGGUCGGUAUUACAAGUCGCUACUAAAACCUGUUCGCCCUUGUGCGACGCACCCUUAUAAUUUAGACCUCAAAUCAGAUGGGACUACCCGCUGAACUUAA
rnacentral:misc_RNA from 1 species